UUUUACACCAGGACUAAAUAAACACUCACUUACCCCUGGUACCUGCUAAUAUGUUAACAAGUAAUGUCCUCAAAGAGCCUCAUUACUUGAUUACAUCCGAGGCUGGGGACUCUGUGCUGUUGCUUUCUCCGCCUGCCGGGAUCUCACGAGCCCAGACACAUUAACUCACUUGAAUACUGAGAGAAAGUGGGAGCUUUAUCAGCCUCCAUUAUCAGCCCAGGAUAACAAAAUACAGCAUUGAAUACUGAGAGAAAGUGGGAGCUUUAUCAGCCUCCAUUAUCAACCCAGGAUAACAAAAUACAGCAUAGGGGCAUUUAUGAUCUCAUGGCUGAGGCAUUAUAACGCAAAUGUCUUAAUCCCUGCAGUUCUCAACACUGCUGUUGCCAUGUCUUUGGGUCAGUAACAUGGUGCAGGGUUAAUCAAGAAAGACAAAUACAGUAGAAACAAGGGAAGCUGGAAUCCCUGCAUCCCAUUCCUGCCUGCCCUUGUGACCAGUGUGCUCUUGGCCUGUGGAAGUCAUCCCCUCCUGCUGCAAUCUGUGCUACACACCCCUCUUCAGCACAGAUACCUAAGGGGAUCAUGGCUGAGGGUGCAUCUGUGACCCUUGUCCCUGUGUGCAGGUACCCAUCUCUGAGUGCAGGUACCCAUCCCUGUGUGCAGACACCCAUCUCUGUGUGCAGACACCCAUCCCUGUGUGCAGGUACCCAUCCCUGUAUGCAGGCACCCAUCUCUGUGUGCAGGUACCUAUCUCUGAGUGCAGGUACCCAUCCCUGUGUGCAGGUACCCAUCCCUGUGUGCAGGUACCCAUCCCUGUGUGCAGGUACCCAUCCCUGUGUGCAGGUACCCAUCUCUGAGUGCAGGUACCCAUCCCUGUGUGCAGGUACCCAUCUCUGUGUGCAUGUACCCAUCUCUGAAUGCAGGUACCCAUCUCUGAGUGCAGGUACCCAUCCCUGUGUGCAGGUACUCAUCCCUGUGUGCUGGUACCCAUCUCUGUGUGCUGGCAAACACAAAGGCAGGCAAUGGAGCUGGGCCUGCACUAACCACAGUUACCCAAGAUGCUGAAGGAUGCUGUAGAAAGUGCAGAAACUCAGUUUAUAUGGAGCGGAAGGAGAGAAAAAGAGAUCCAUGAAAUAAAAGAGGCACACAGUAUUUUGGGAUUUACACAGCCUUUAUGCCCAAAAUACAGUGGCAACCUCUUGCUGGUCACAUCAGCCACCAGAAGCACCUUCAGUGGUUUCAACAAUAAAUGAA
rnacentral:lncRNA from 1 species